AGAGUUUGAUCCUGGCUCAGGAUGAACGCUGGCGGCGUGCGUAACACAUGCAAGUUGAACGACGGUGCCAUGAAGUGGUAACACGGAGUGGUAUACGGAGUAGCGGACGGGUGAGUAAAGCAUGAGAAUCUGUCCUGUCGAGGGGGAUAACGUUCGGAAACGGACCCUAAUACCCCAUAGUCCGAGAGGUUAAAGGCAGCGAUGCGCGGCAGGAGGAGCUCGUGUCCUAUCAGCUGGUUGGUGAGGUAACGGCUCACCAAGGCUUCGACGGGUAGCCGGCCUGAGAGGGUGACCGGCCACACUGGAACUGAGAAACGGUCCAGACUCCUACGGGAGGCAGCAGUGGGGAAUAUUGGGCAAUGGGAGGAAUCCUGACCCAGCGACGCCGCGUGAACGAAGACGGCCUUCGGGUUGUAAAGUUCUUUUAUGUGGGAAGAAGGAAGUGACGGUACCACAUGAAUAAGCCCCGGCUAACUACGUGCCAGCAGCCGCGGUAAUACGUAGGGGGCGAGCGUUGUCCGGAAUUACUGGGCGUAAAGGGCACGCAGGCUGUGCUUCAAGUCAGCUGUAAAAGGAUGCGGCUUAACCGUGUUAUGCGGCUGAGACUGAGGUGCUGGAGUACCGGAGAGGCAAGUGGAAUUCCCAGUGUAGCGGUGAAAUGCGUAGAUAUUGGGAAGAACAUCGGUGGCGAAGGCGACUUGCUGGACGGUAACUGACGCUGAGGUGCGAAAGCCAGGGUAGCGAACGGGAUUAGAUACCCCGGUAGUCCUGGCCGUAAACGAUGAAUGCUAGGUGUGCGAGCAGAGAUGUUGGUGUGCCGCAGUUAACGCGAUAAGCAUUCCGCCUGGGGAGUACGGUCGCAAGAUUGAAACUCAAAGGAAUUGACGGGGGCCCGCACAAGCGGUGGAGCACGUGGUUUAAUUCGAUGCAAACCGAAGAACCUUACCUGGGUUUGACAUGUAUGUGGUAGGAGAUGGAAACAUUGACGACGCUGCUUUCGGGCAGUGAGCAUACACAGGUGCUGCAUGGCUGUCGUCAGCUCGUGUCGUGAGAUGUUGGGUUAAGU
rnacentral:rRNA from 1 species